CUUCCAACACCACCUCACCAGUGAGUGGGCUGGAGCACACAAGAAGCUGGGAGGAGAUGCAGCCAGCACAGUUGACCCUAACUGGCCCAAAAAAUAUUCCAUACCCUAUGACAUCUUGCUCUGGAUAUAAGGGGGAAGCUGGCCGGGGACUGCUACUGAGGAACAGUCUGGGCAUAGAUGGAUGAUUGUUUCUGUUCCAGUGGAUCCUAAUGACUUCCACCAUAGACAAUGUCUUUGUUAUACAGGUGCUACAUGACGCAGAUAUAUCAUUUUUUUAAAAUGAGCUCUUUGAAGGCAGAAGCUGAAUUCCAACUUGAAUGCAGGGCUCUUCUGUCUUCAGCAAGGCUUGAAAAAGGACAAUCAAUAGAUCUGGCUUUGAGAUGUUUUUAUGCUACCUGCACAGCAACUUCUCAUCAAGUUCCAUGCAGAAAUCCCAAAUUAUCUGGGCUGGAAAGCAGCAAGUGGAUACACCAUGUUGAAAAUAAGAUGGUAGUUUGGAAGAUUGAGUAUCAGCUUGGAGCAGUGAACAAGGCUGAUGGCAAUUCUUCACUACAGUCAAUUUUUAAGUAAAGCUCAAAUAUUCUUCCUCAGUUCAAGCUGGAAUAUUUCAAAGUAAUUCCACAUCUCUAAUCUGAUGUCAGACUUAGUGACUUCCUAAUGAUCUUAUAUGGAUGUGUGAUUUAUGAACAUGUUCUCUACUGGUAUUGUCCUGAUAUUGCUGUUCCCUGUAUAAAAAAUACCACAUUUUUUCAUCUUUCAGGUGAAAUAUAAGUUUAUGUUCACCAAGAUUAAAGCAGUGAUCAAAAAAAAAAAAGGAAUUAAAUAUAUAUCAUUAUUAUGCAUGACUUUAAUAACAUUCCCAGACCCAUUCUGACAAAUCAUGUUUGACUUCACAAGUCAAGGUGCUCUUUGCAAAGGAGAAGUGUUCUUGGGUGACCCUUCCAACAGAUGAAGACAAAAAGGAGCUUUUUGCUGGGAUCCUUUCAAUGAGCUGUGACUGACAGGACUGAAGGAAGUUCUAAAAACAGAAGUGCCAGUAACAGAGUGUACCUUGACUGAGGGUCAGUGUCCCUUUAUCUCAUCAGUUUGCACAUUGUCCUGCUACAUCUCUGUGGGAAAGGCUCAUCUGCUUUCUGCUUGGAGGUAGUCACUGCUAUUUGCCUUUCACUUCCUUUAUAGACACCACAUUGUCCAUAAUUUUCAGUACAUGAAUUUGGAAAACAUGGAUGAUACCACUGCAAGAUCUCACACAGGAGAAAAAUGGUGCCAUAUGUAGGGCUGGAGUAAUAAAAGCAGAAAAAGAAGGAAAAACAGUAGAAGAAAAAUAUUUAGUUCCUUGCAGUCAAAAUUAAUAAAAGCACCAAUUUGUCUGGGGUUUGGUGCCACUUAAUAUCAAUAUUAAAAUUUCCAAUGAAAUGCUAAUAUUUCCCUUCCAUCUCUUCUUAGCAUAUCCUCCUCAGUAAAUCAAGUUUUGUUAAGUAGCAAAUAUGAUUUGAACAAAAGCUUUCAGAGACAGAAUUUAUACAGAGUAAAGUUGACUCAAUUUCUGAGUAAUGGAGAUGAAAAAGCACUUCACUGUCUUUUUGAAACAUGAUAAUGAUGCUUCUUUGUCUUUCCCCCUGCAUAAAAGCAUUUAAAGCUAUAAAUACUGGGACUCUGUAAUGGAAGCAGGAUAAAAAGUUUCUUGAAAGAUUUUAUGGCACACAGGAGAACACAGGGAUUUCUUUCUUUUGGGAGGCCUUGGUUCAAAUCCACAGGUCAUGCUUGAGAAUGGUGCUUACCACCCACUCAGCCUUUGCUUGUUCAGAGCAAUGAGUAGCCCAAAUGGUGCAACUUCCUGCUUUCUCUGAGAAAUUUGUCCUGGUGUAAGGAGGGACUUGCAGGCAUCUUAAUGGACAAGUCCAGCACAAGUCAGAUGUGUCACCUUGUGGGAAAGGCCAACCAGUCUUUGGACUGCAUUAGUGUCAAGGGAAGAGAUUUUUCCACUCUGUUCAGCAUUUGCGAGAGAAUUAAGAAAAUUCUAAUUAGAUACUGGGAAAAAUAAACUCCCAAUGGAAUGAUAGUGGUCAAAUGUGGGGACAGAGGCCUAGGAGAUACUGGGGUGACUGAGCAGUUGUGGAACAGAGACUGAGCAGAGACGCCCCAGUGACACCCUGCUAGAAGUUCCCCACUCACUACCUUGCAGGCUUCCACAGAGUGUAGCUGGGCACAUUUUUAUCUCCAAGGCUGAAAAGGCCAGGUAAAUUAGUCAUAGGGUUUUUUGACUCAAUUCAAAACUGUGGGAUAAGUGUAAUUGUGCUCAACACUUUCUUUCUAGAGGUCUUUCCUUCAGAAGGAACUUUUUUGAUGUAUUGUCUUUUGCUUUUCCUUCCUGUUUUCCCUCCAAAAAUCAAUGCUAAAUUUUAUGAUGUCCCAUCAGAUCAGUAAAAUAAAAGAAGCAUGUCGGGAUAUUCAUGAGCCUUUAUACAACGGAUUUUUUGUUUUCCCCACCUUGAUGGGCUAAAACCCAGUGAGAAAAGCUGCUGAACCCUCUUUCCUCUUUCCACCUCUUUGUAGGGAAAAGUCAGGACUGGUGCUCACACUGUUUGCCUAGAGAUCAACUC